AUUGAACGCUGGCGGCAUGCCUUACACAUGCAAGUCGAACGGUAACAGGGAGCUUGCUCCGCUGACGAGUGGCGAACGGGCGAGUAAUGUAUCGGAACGUACCUUUUAGUGGGGGAUAACGUAGCGAAAGUUACGCUAAUACCGCAUAUUCUCUGAGGAGGAAAGCAGGGGACCUUCGGGCCUUGCGCUAAUAGAGCGGCUGAUAUCAGAUUAGCUAGUUGGUGAGGUAAAGGCUCACCAAGGCGACGAUCUGUAGCGGGUCUGAGAGGAUGAUCCGCCACACUGGAACUGAGACACGGUCCAGACUCCUACGGGAGGCAGCAGUGGGGAAUUUUGGACAAUGGGGGCAACCCUGAUCCAGCCAUGCCGCGUGAGUGAAGAAGGCCUUCGGGUUGUAAAGCUCUUUCGGCCGGGAAAAAAUCGCAUGGGUUAAUACCCUGUGUGGAUGAUGGUACCGGAAUAAGAAGCACCGGCUAACUACGUGCCAGCAGCCGCCGUAA
rnacentral:rRNA from 1 species